rnacentral:rRNA from 1 species
UACAGAGACCUCAAGCGUUAUCCGGAUUUAUUGGGCGUAAAGCGUGUGUAGGCGGACAUGUUAGUCGGAUGUCAAAUAUCCCGGCUUAACCGGGAACAGGCAUUCGAAACGGCAUGUCUCGAGAAAGUGAGAGAUCGGUGGAAUUCAUGGUGUAGUAGUGAAAUGCGUUGAUAUCAUGAGGAACACCCAAGGCGAAGGCAGCCGAUUGGCACUUUUCUGACGCUGAGACACGAAAGCGUGGGGAGCGAAUGGGAUUAGAUACCCCAGUAGUCCACGCCGUAAACGAUGCAUACUAGGUGCGGGGAGAAUCGACCCUUUCCGUGCCGGAGUUAACGCGUUAAGUAUGCCGCCUGGGAAGUACGAGCGCAAGCUUAAAACUCAAAGGAAUAGACGGGGAUCCGCACAAGUGGUGGAGCAUGUGGUUUAAUUCGAUGCUAAGCGAGGCACCUCACCAGGGCUUGAAAUCUAGCUGCAGGGCCCGGAAACGGGACGUUCUUCGAGAGUGCUAGACCAGGUGCUGCAUGGUCGUCGUCAGCUCGUGCCGUAAGGUGUUCCGUUCAGUCGGGAAACGAGCGCAACCCUCAUGAAGUGUUACAAUGUGUCACUUCAGACUGCCCAGCCCAAAGCGCAUGAAACGCGCUUAACCUAUGGCUUACAACGUACAACUGACAACGCUUCCGUUGUUAGUUAUCAGUUGUUUGUUGUUCGUUAGGCACUUCGUGCCCUUGGGGCUGGGAGGAAGGCGGGGAUGACGUCAGAUCAGCAUGGCCCUUUGACGCCCUGGGCGACACACGUGCUACAAUGGCGAGGAACAAAGGGUUGCCAAGUCGCGAGACGGAGCUAAUCCCAAAAAACUCGCCCCAGUUCGGAUUGGAGUCUGCAACCCGACUCCAUGAAGCCGGAAUCACUAGUAAUCGUGGAUCAGCCAUGCCACGGUGAAUACGUUCUCGGAUCU